GGUUCAAGUGGCUCCGUGGUAGAGCAUCUGCUUCUCACGCAGAAGGGCCCAGGUUCAAUCCCUGGCAUCUCCA